AGGUUGCAGCACUCGGAGCGGGCGAGGCAGGGGGCUGAGGAGCGGAGCCACAAGCUGCAGCAGGAGCUGGGCGGGAGGAUUGGCGCCCUGCAGCUGCAGCUCUCCCAGCUGCACGAGCAAUGCUCAAGCCUGGAGAAAGAAUUGAAAUCAGAAAAAGAGCAAAGACAGGCUCUUCAGCGCGAAUUACAGCACGAGAAAGACACUUCCUCUCUACUCAGGAUGGAGCUGCAACAAGUGGAAGGACUGAAAAAGGAGUUGCGGGAGCUUCAGGACGAGAAGGCAGAGCUGCAGAAGAUCUGCGAGGAGCAGGAACAAGCCCUCCAGGAAAUGGGCCUGCACCUCAGCCAGUCCAAGCUGAAGAUGGAAGAUAUAAAAGAAGUGAACCAGGCACUGAAGGUACUGGCUUGCUAAGAACCACUUCUUCGCUGUCAGCUUGCGCUGACUGCCCGUGUGCUCGUACGUUUAAGUAUCCCAACAGUCAGGUGAGAGCGUGUGGUUGAAGCAGUGGUGAUGACGUAUUGACAGAGAAGCCAAACGCUGCUCAGAAACGUGUCCCUCGGCUGAGGGCGAUGCUGACAGGUGGCCAAAGCUGAGCCUAGGUCUUCCGACUCCAGUUCCUCCGCCAUCAGCUGUGCUUUCAAAAUAGGCCUGAUGGGCAUCCCUUAAGGGGGAAGCAGGUGGCAGAGAGGAGGGACCCGCGGAUAUCUUUAAACAGCGAAAAACAGGCCCUUCUGUUGAAGUGAGGGGCCAGAGGCCAGCCAGCCCCACUGCAGUGCCCUGUGCCAUUGCUAGGGACCACUCAAGCCAAGCCCUGAGUUGGGCCAGGUUUCCGCACCCUGGUGGGGAGGGCAGAAUGACACAUUCCACCGAAGAGCAGGAGCUUGCAGGUGGCCCAGUGUGGGUGCCGGUGCCAGGCUGAGCUGCAGGGUGGAGAGCGUGGGAGAGGAGGCAGACAUUUGGGGGCACGGCAGCCUGGCCUUCAAGACAGCCUUGCCUGCAGGAGCACCCCGCUUCGGCCUCAGCUGUGCCGUGGCAGCAAUGCAAAAGCAGUCCCUU
rnacentral:sRNA from 1 species